GCGCUUGUAGCUCAACCGGAUAGAGCACCGGCCUUCUAAGCCGGGGGUCGCAGGUUCGAGUCCUGCCAAGCGCGCCA
rnacentral:tRNA from 7 species